GAUGAAGAACGUAGCGAAAUGCGAUAAGUAAUGUGAAUUGCAGAAUUCAGUGAAUCAUCGAAUCUUUGAACGCACAUUGCGCCCCUUGGUAUUCCGAGGGGCAUGCCUGUUCGAGCGUCAUUAUAACCCCUCAAGCUCAGCUUGGUGUUGGGGCCUGCUGCACUGGCAGCCCUUAAAAUCAGUGGCGGCGCCGUCUGGCUCUAAGCGUAGUAAUUCUUCUCGCUAUGGAGUCCUGGUGGAUGCUUGCCAUCAACCCCCAAUUUUUCUAUGGUUGACCUCGGAUCAGGUAUGGAUACCCGCUGAACUUAAGCAUAUCAAUAAGCGGAGGA
rnacentral:misc_RNA from 1 species